UGCCCGAGGUGGGAAUCGAACCCACACGUCCCUGCGGACAACGGAUUUUAAGUCCGUUGCGUCUGCCUAUUCCGCCACUCGGGC
rnacentral:tRNA from 1 species